rnacentral:rRNA from 1 species
ACGCUCGACACCUACGGGAGGCAGCAGUGGGAAUAUUGCACAAUGGGGGAAACCCUGAUGCAGCGACGCCGCGUGAAGGAAGAAGUAUCUCGGUAUGUAAACUUCUAUCAGCAGGGAAGAAAAUGACGGUAUCUGACUAAGAAGCCCCGGCUAACUACGUGCCACAGCCGCGGUAAUCUGAGCGGGCUGGCAAGGC